AAAACGACUCUCGGCAACGAAUAUCUAGGCUCUCGCAUCGAUGAAGAACGUAGCGAAAUGCGAUACUUGGUGUGAAUUGCAGAAUCCCGCGAAUCAUCGAGUUUUUGAACGCAAGUUGCGCCCGAAGCCAUUCGGCCGAGGGCACGUCUGCCUGGGUGUCACGC
rnacentral:rRNA from 1 species